rfam:Candidatus Fischerbacteria bacterium RBG_13_37_8 RBG_13_scaffold_49288, whole genome shotgun sequence.
AAAGUCUCCAAAGGUAAGCGGAACUCACCGCGCCUGAUAUCGAGUCUUGAGUUUAUGGAGGUAACGACAUGAAUUAAGCGUAGACAGAAAGAGAAGCAGGCCGUAAGCCGCAAGGUUGAAUCGAUUCAGCCCCGAAAUCGCGUUCACCGGAAUGGCCGACGUUUUUAAAACAACGGAAGGUAAUAUCAACUGAAGCNNNNNNNNGAGGAGUUUCAGUGGACAUUCCCGGGGUCGUAGAGAA